GGGCCGUUAGCUCAGCUGGGAGAGCGCUUGAAUGGCAUUCAAGAGGUCGGCGGUUCGAUCCCGCUACGGUCCA
rnacentral:tRNA from 1 species